rnacentral:rRNA from 1 species
UGGGGAAUAUUGGACAAUGGGGGAAACCCUGAUCCAGCAAUGCCGCGUGGGUGAAGAAGGCCUGCGGGUUGUAAAGCCCUUUCGGUGAAGACAAAACGCGACGUGCUAAUACCACGUUGUUUUGAUUUAACUCACUAAAGAAGCACCGGCUAACUCUGUGCCAGCAGCCGCGGUAAUACAGAGGGUGCAAGCGUUAAUCGGAAUUACUGGGCGUAAAGCGCACGUAGGUGGCUUGGUAAGUUGGGUGUGAAAUCCCCGAGCUUAACUUGGGAAUUGCAUUCAAGACUGCCUUGCUAGAGUGUGGAAGAGGGAAGCGGAAUUCCAGGUGUAGCGGUGAAAUGCGUAGAUAUCUGGAGGAACAUCAGUGGCGAAGGCGGCUUCCUGGUCCAACACUGACACUGAGGUGCGAAAGCGUGGGGAGCAAACAGGAUUAGAUACCCCCGUAGUCC